CCAUGGAAUCUCGCAUGGAGUGGUAUCGCAGUAGUGGAUGCCAAAAUUAGUUAGUGGAUGCCAAAAUUACAGGUAAAUUCAUCCACUAGAUGUCCUGUAGACAUCCUGCACUGUCAUCUAGUGAAUCUGAAAAUCUAGUUCUUCAAGGCACAACCGAAUUCAACAGGCCCUAAUUGGAGAAAGACAUCUGGUGGACAAAUAUUCUACUACUUAAAUAUUUGAUCUAUUGUUAUCAUAUAACGUGUGAUACAACUGAUACAUAGAAGUAAUAAGUGAUAUCCAAGUUUGUGAUCUCCCCUAUUUUUUGUGUUUCCAAGGAUAAUCGAUACAGAAAUAAUGGCAAGCUACUGAACCUUAAAACUGUGAGCAAUCCACAUCAAUCUUUUCCACCAUGCCAUUGCUAACCAAUGUUGUUUUUAAACUACUAUCAAGCUUGUGAGACAAAAGCAAAAAAAGAUAAUGCUUGAGGUUGGUCAACAAUAACAGAAAUUUCUGCCAACUUGCCUACUGCUGAUUCUAGUACUUCUUAUUGGUUCAUGGCCUCAUGUUGUAGUUUAAUGGUAUACCUACACGACAAGUGCUGAAUAGUUAUUCCGUUUGUGGAGUACUGUCAAACAUCACCAUUUCUGAAUCCUUCCCCUCAUCUCUACUUAGCACAAGUAUUUCCAGACUUCAACAACAUAACCAAAUUUUGGACUGCAAAAUUUUAUUAUCUUUCUGCUGCUAAAUUAACACCUAAACCUAACAAGUGCAGCACAUUCAUCUUAGCAUGUCGAGAAUCUACCGUAACCUUGCCAGAAGCUUUCUCCCCAUCCCUACUUAGCCAGCUUGCAAGCAUAGGGUUCAACACCAUCAUCCCAUUUGGACUGCAGAUCUUCCUUCUACGCAAAAUCGCCGUCGGGACUAUUUCUGCAUUCAUCUUCUCCAGUGGGCCACACAUUUCAGAACUACUCUGUCUUCUUCGGCCUUCCCGUACAAAGUCAACCAUUGGGAUUCCGGCCUUGCUGUCUUCUUCCUUCGCCUUCUCUUCAUCGCUCUUCGUCGACGCCUUCUCCUCAUCGCUCUUCGUCGACGCCUUCUCCUCAUCGCUCUUCGUCGACGCCUUCUCCUCAUCGCUCUUCGUCGACGCCUUCUCCUCAUCGCUCUUCGUCGACGCCUUCUCCUCAUCGCUGUUUUCGUCUACGCCAAUGCCUUUGCCGCAUCGCCAUCCUCUAGCCAUCUAUCCGUAAGACCAAAUAGGGUGCAGCUCAGCAGAAAGCCCAAGGCGAUGGAAGCAGUUCAUCGUGGAACGUCGCCCUGGUAUUGUUUUCUUUUGUAUUGUAUUGUAUUGUAUCGUAUCAUGUAAGUUAACCCGUUGGCUGCCACCCCGUUUGCGUCCCAUUUUUUUUGUAGCUUUUAGGGACCGGGCGCUGUUCUGCCCCGUGGCCAGGGGGGGAACAGUCGCCGCGCCUUUAGGCGCCGUAGGCAAUGCACCAGUAGGGACUCUCUUUGUCGGCGCGGUGAUAGAUUCCUGGGGUGUGCAUUCCCGGAAUGGUUUCUAUCACCGUGUCAGCCCGGACUUGUCUUCGGACAAGUCCCACCUUGUUCGUGGAUCCAUCUGACGCGAAGCGUAGCAACUGUAGUAAAGCAACCUACGGGUUGCAUGGCCUGGCAGCCAACGGGUUAACUAGUUAGUUGUAUGUUGUAUGUAUUUAUAUAUGUAUUAAUUUAUGUUGUGUUAUGUAAAAAAGUGGUGGAAUUGAUGGGUGGAGGUGGGACAAUAAAAAUAAUUCCUGUUAA